rnacentral:rRNA from 1 species
AAUCAACGCUGGCGGCGUGCCUCAGACAUGCAAGUCGAACGAUUAAGACUUCCUUCGGGAAGUGUAUAAAGUGGCGCACGGGUGAGUAACACGUAAGUAAUCUACCUUCGAGUGGGGAAUAACAUCGGGAAACCGAUGCUAAUACCGCAUAAUGCAGCGGCAUCGCAAGAUGACAGUUGUUAAAGGAGCAAUUCGCUUGAAGAGGAGCUUGCGGCAGAUUAGCUAGUUGGUAAGGUAAUGGCUUACCAAGGAUACGAUCUGUAUCCGGUCUAAGAGGACGGUCGGACACACUGACACUGAAUAACGGGUCAGACUCCUACGGGAGGCAGCAGUCGGGAAUUUUGGGCAAUGGGCGAAAGCCUGACCCAGCAACGCCGCGUGAGGGAUGAAGUAUUUCGGUAUGUAAACCUCGAAAGAAUGGGAAGAAUAAAUGACGGUACCAUUUAUAUGCUCCGGCUACCUACGUGCCAGCAGCCGCCGUAAGAC